ensembl:snoRNA SNORA74 Small nucleolar RNA SNORA74
CCCAGCUGUGGGCAACAGCCUAGGUUGUGUUGUACCUAGGUAAGUGUUGUAGUGCUGGGAGAAAAGCAGCUCAUAGCUAAUGGGCAUC